CGCGCGCUGAACUGGAGCGGAGGACGUCACCAUGGAAACGAGGCGGCAGCCCAACCGUCAAGCAGCUGAACGCUGACUCUCAAUGUGGUUUUCACUAUUGUUUUUUAGAAAUGGUUUAGUGUCGUCAGAAAAAGUCCGUUAGCAUCUCCACUGUAAGGCUAACUACAAGAGGUUCUUCCAUGCUGAUGGCUGUGCUCUAGAGUCAUAUCUCCUGUCGAAGAACAUUUUUAGACAUUAU